GAAGGCUAGUUGAGAAGAGAGAGAAAAAGAGCAGUAGGAAUGGAAACAUGGAGGAAAGUAUGACUUGUUUUGUUUUCACCUCUAGUAUUGGAGGUGAGAACUCAAUUUGGUGUUUCCCGAUGCCUCUCAUUCCUUUUGUCCUCAAGCACUCCUUCCUCUUCCUUUUUUGG
rnacentral:pre_miRNA from 1 species